GACGAACGCUGGCGGCGUGCUUAACACAUGCAAGUCGAACGGAAAGGCCCUGCUUUUGUGGGGUGCUCGAGUGGCGAACGGGUGAGUAACACGUGAGUAACCUGCUCUUGACUUUGGGAUAACUUCAGGAAACUGGGGCUAAUACCGGAUAGGAGCUCCUGCUGCAUGGUGGGGGUUGGAAAGUUUCGGCGGUUGGGGAUGGACUCGAGGCUUAUCAGCUUGUUGGUGGGGUAGUGGCUUACCAAGGCUUUGACGGGUAGCCGGCCUGAGAGGGUGACCGGACACAUUGGGACUGAGAUACGGCCCAGACUGCUACGGGAGGCAGAAGUGGGGAAUAUUGCACAAUGGGCGGAAGCCUGAUGCAGCAACGCCGCGUGCGGGAUGACGGCCUUCGGGUUGUAAACCGCUUUCGCCUGUGACGAAGCGUGAGUGACGGUAAUGGGUAAAGAAGCACCGGCUAACUACGUG
rnacentral:rRNA from 1 species